rnacentral:rRNA from 1 species
UACGUAGGUGGCGAGCGUUGUCCGGAUUUACUGGGCGUAAAGGGAGCGUAGGCGGACUUUUAAGUGAGAUGUGAAAUACUCGGGCUCAACUUGAGUGCUGCAUUUCAAACUGGAAGUCUAGAGUGCAGGAGAGGAGAAUGGAAUUCCUAGUGUAGCGGUGAAAUGCGUAGAGAUUAGGAAGAACACCAGUGGCGAAGGCGAUUCUCUGGAUUGUAACUGACGCUGAGGCUCGAAAGCGUGGGGAGCAAACAGG